rnacentral:rRNA from 1 species
UACGAAGGGGGCUAGCGUUGCUCGGAAUCACUGGGCGUAAAGGGUGCGUAGGCGGGCCUUUAAGUCAUGGGUGAAAUCCUGGAGCUCAACUCCAGAACUGCCUUUGAUACUGAAGAUCUUGAGUUCGGGAGAGGUGAGUGGAACUGCGAGUGUAGAGGUGAAAUUCGUAGAUAUUCGCAAGAACACCAGUGGCGAAGGCGGCUCACUGGCCCGAUACUGACGCUGAGGCACGAAAGCGUGGGGAGCAAACAGG